rnacentral:rRNA from 1 species
UAAUACGUUAGCGGCGGACGGGUGAGUAACGCGUGAGCAAACUGCCUCUGUCAUCGGGAUAACACUUAGAAAUAGGUGCUAAUACCGAAUAAGACCACGAUUCGGCAUCGAAUUGGGGUAAAAAGGUUACUGGACAGAGAUGAGCUCGCGUCCCAUUAGGUAGUUGGUGAGGUAACGGCCCACCAAGCCGACGAUGGGUAGCCGACCUGAGAGGGUAAACGGCCACAUUGGAACUGAGAAACGGUCCAAACUCCUACGGAAGGCAGCAG